ACAGAGGUCCCAAGCGUUGUUCGGAUUCACUGGGCGUAAAGGGUGCGUAGGUGGUGAGGUAAGUCGGAUGUGAAAUCUCGGAGCUUAACUCCGAAACUGCAUUGGAAACUACCUUGCUAGAGGGUUGGAGGGGGGACUGGAAUUCUCGGUGUAGCAGUGAAAUGCGUAGAUAUCGAGAGGAACACCAGUGGCGAAGGCGAGUCCCUGGACAACUCCUGACACUGAGGCACGAAAGCUAGGGGAGCAAACAG
rnacentral:rRNA from 1 species